rnacentral:rRNA from 1 species
GUGGUUUAAUUCGAAGCAACGCGAAGAACCUUACCAGGUCUUGACAUCCCGAUGCUUAUUUCUAGAGAUAGAAAGUUACUUCGGUACAUCGGUGACAGGUGGUGCAUGGUUGUCGUCAGCUCGUGUCGUGAGAUGUUGGGUUAAGUCCCGCAACGAGCGCAACCCCUAUUGUUAGUUGCCAUCAUUCAGUUGGGCACUCUAGCGAGACUGCCGGUAAUAACCGGAGGAAGGUGGGAUGACGUCAAAUCAUCAUGCCCCUUAUGACCUGGGCUACACACGUGCUACAAUGGUUGGUACAACGAGUUGCGAGUCGGUGACGGCGAGCUAAUCUCUUAAAGCCAAUCUCAGUUCGGAUUGUAGGCUGCAACUCGCCUACAUGAAGUCGGAAUCGCUAGUAAUCGCGGAUCAGCACGCCGCGGUGAAUACGUUCCCGGGCCUU